rnacentral:misc_RNA from 1 species
GAAAUGCGAUACGUAGUGUGAAUUGCAGAAUUCCGUGAACCAUCGAAUCUUUGAACGCAUAUUGCGCUCGAGGCCUCGGCCGAGAGCAUGUCUGCCUCAGCGUCGGGUUUAUAUCACACCUCUAUACCCAUGUAUAAAGGCGUGGACCUGGCCGUUCCAGCUCGGCUUUCUCAUAGCUCUCUAAGGGCUAUGAGAUGCAAACAGCUCUGGAUCGGCUGAAGAGCAGAGUCUUAACCAGGACCCAUUAUCAAGGGCCGCAACUGUGUGGGCAAUCUUAAAACCAUUGCUAAAAGCUUUAGUUGUUGGCCUGGGCGCCCGGUACAAGGACCUCAACCCAGGAAUUACAUAUAAACCAUAAUCUCGACCUGAGCUCAGGCAAGAACACCCGCUGAACUUAA